GACGAACGCUGGCGGCGUGCUUAACACAUGCAAGUCGAACGGAAAGGCCCUGCUUUGGUGGGGUGCUCGAGUGGCGAACGGGUGAGUAACACGUGAGUAACCUGCCCUUGACUUUGGGAUAACUUCAGGAAACUGGGGCUAAUACCGGAUAGGAGCUCCUGCUGCAGGGGGGGGGGUGGAAAGUUUCUGCGGUUGGGGAUGGACUCGGGGCUUAUCAGCUUGUUGGUGGGGUAGUGGCUUACCAAGGCUUUGACGGGUAGCCGGCCUGAGAGGGUGACCGGCCACAUUGGGCCUGAGAUACGGCCCAGACUCCUACGGGAGGCAGCGGUGGGGAAUAUUGCACAAUGGGCGGAAGCCUGAUGCAGCAACGCCGCGUGCGGGAUGACGGCCUUCGGGUUGUAACCCGCUUUCGCCUGUGACGAAGCGUGAGUGACGGUAAUGGGUAAAGAAGCACCGGCUAACUACGUG
rnacentral:rRNA from 1 species